CGGGGUGUGGCGCAGUUGGCUAGCGCGCAUGGUUUGGGACCAUGAGGUCGGAGGUUCGAGCCCUCUCACCCCGACCA
rnacentral:tRNA from 1 species